rnacentral:tRNA from 1 species
UGGUUCAGUGGUAGAACUUUUGCCUUCCACGUGGCAGAGACCCAGGUUCGAUUCCUGG